UCAUUUAUUGAUAUCAUAACAAAUUUUAAAAUGAAAAUUUUCUGAAAACCCUCAAUUAUUUUUACCAUAAAUAAAUAAAUUGAUAGAUAAAAAUCAAAGUGAGGACGAAGAAAGGGACUACAACAGUUGCAAUGAAAGUAAGAAUACACAUGACCCCUCUACUUUGGAGGCAUAUGCUGCAUUUUAGUCUGGUCUUAAAAGUUGCAGAUAAUACUCCAAUAGAAUAAGCGUCAAGAUGUUAGAUAGAUUGUUCCCCAAAUAGCAAUCAAAAUAUUGAAUAAACUAUUAUACCAUUUUUAACCCAUUCUUUAACACGACAUCAACAAUUAGAGAACGGGGUAAAAAUAGCCACUACGAUGGGAUAAAGAUUGAAUUAGUGAGCUAUCUUUUUAGAGCAUCCAGGAAGGAAAAACGGUCCUGAGUCAUACAUAGUUGACCGUAUAUAUGUAUUGACACGUCUUAUUAUCGAAAAUGACUCCUCACAUGAUGUCAAAGAAAUUGGUAAUUAAAUUUUGUCACAUGUCUUAAGAUAAUAGUGAAAACAAUGAUAAUGAUAUGAUCUACAUCAACUUUGGCUGUCACUAAGCACUCAUUAAUCAAACGCAUGUAAGUUCCACGAACUACGCUUCAGUAGACGUGUACUCUUUGAUCAGCACUGCGGCAGUUGCAGACUUGAUGUAGACGAGAAUUACGAUUUCAUUGGCCUAAAUUGAAUGAUAGAAAUAAGCAAGUAUGCCCUUCAAUUAGGUAUGUACAGCAUCAAGAAAUAAAGUAUAAUAAAAAAAAAAUUACGACUACAAAGAAUGAUUAUCGCCUUUGCUCAGGAGUCUUUGUUAGCAAAAACAAAGAAAAUUAAAUAUAUCGGAUUCAAAUAAAAUUGAUACAUGUCACCUUUCAUUUGUGAAGCAUGAUAACAAGGGGUAUAAAAAUCAAAGAAAAUAUAUUGCUAUCCCUAAAAAUGUCUUUGAAAAAAUUGCUGACAAAACUAAAAAUAGUGUUCUUCCCAAUAUUGUAAUUAGUCAACUUCAUAAUGACUUUAAUUGCAAUGAUGUUGAAAAGAAAAAUCUUGAUUUUCAAAAGAAUGUUUACAAUACUUCUACCAAGCUUGGAUCCUAUAAAUACCAACUACAUAAUGAUACAUUAAUUUCUGAGAUUCAAGGGGAAAAAAUCCAGAAACUGUUAUUGGAAAUACAAUGAGUAUGGAAUCAAGUUGGAAUGUGUUAAGAGAACACAAUUAUUUUAAUAAUCGUGGAAAUAAAAACAAACAAUGGUCUUAUGAAAAAUGUGAAUCUUUAUUAUCUUCGGAAAAAAAAAAAUGAUGAUGCUUUACCAGAAUGGUGUAAGACUGAUAGCGAUGAUGAAGAUGGAAAUAGUGAUACUGAAAUAAAAUCUCUUGCCCAGUUAUUAAGAUUAGAAUAUGAAAAAGAUUUACCGUUUUAAAAUCAGAAUAUUAAAUAUUUUGAUGUUAUUUUAUUCACAUGAUGUUCUACUGAGCGUGUUUUGUCUAUUAUGUGGAACUAUUCUUCCAUCACCUCAAAAAAAUGAUAAAUAUUUGCUGAGUAUACACUACAUUCCAACUAAAGCAUAUAUCAUAUAUCAUUAUUGUGAGUCACAGCUAAUACCGAAUAUGUAAGAAACAGUAGUUUGGACACAGCUACCAUCCGAUAUAGCCAAACUUCAUAUUGUUCUUUAGACAUAGAGCCAUUUGGAUACUGACAAAUUAAUUAUCGAAAUUGAACGUAAUCUUUCACUAUGGGAUACAUCUCGCUCAGAUUAUGCUAAUAAAAUACUUAAGCAAGAUAGCUGGAACAAUGUUUGCCGAGUUUUUAAGGAAAGAUUUGAUUCUAUGGACGCAAUGCAGAAAUAUAAAUAUAUACAUUUAAGUACAUAAUAAAAUAUAAAGAUUCGGGGAAAUAGGGUAUGUGAAUUUACUUUCAUAAUUUAGCUACUAGUAAUGUAAAUGUAAAUUAUUUAAAGGGGAGAGGUUAACAAUUUUAUUUAAUUUGUUAUCUAAAUAUAAUAAUCAUAGUAAAGGACGUCUGUGCAUUUGCCCUACUCCCUUAUCCAAAAAAAAUAAUAUUAUCAUAAAAUUGAAUAAGUGUUAUCUUUUUGAGAAUAUAUAACUCAUAAUUUGAAAAACAAAAUUGGCUCCUUUUUAAAGUUUUACUUAUGGGCACUCAUGAUCAUAGUUAAAUUUAUAACCAGCAGAAUACUAUAAAAUAUAAAAUAAAUAAUAAGUUAUAACUAGGGCUGAAAUUUGAAUGCCCUAAAAUAUUUCAAGAA